rnacentral:rRNA from 1 species
GAUGAACGCUGGCGGCGUGCCUAAUACAUGCAAGUCGAGCGAACAGAUAAGGAGCUUGCUCCUUUGACGUUAGCGGCGGACGGGUGAGUAACACGUGGGUAACCUACCUAUAAGACUGGGAUAACUUCGGGAAACCGGAGCUAAUACCGGAUAACAUUUGGAACCGCAUGGUUCUAAAGUGAAAGAUGGUUUUGCUAUCACUUAUAGAUGGACCCGCGCCGUAUUAGCUAGUUGGUAAGGUAACGGCUUACCAAGGCGACGAUACGUAGCCGACCUGAGAGGGUGAUCGGCCACACUGGAACUGAGACACGGUCCAGACUCCUACGGGAGGCAGCAGUAGGGAAUCUUCCGCAAUGGGCGAAAGCCUGACGGAGCAACGCCGCGUGAGUGAUGAAGGGUUUCGGCUCGUAAAACUCUGUUAUUAGGGAAGAACAAAUGUGUAAGUAACUGUGCACAUCUUGACGGUACCUAAUCAGAAAGCCACGGCUAACUACGUGCCAGCAGCCGCGGUAAUACGUAGGUGGCAAGCGUUAUCCGGAAUUAUUGGGCGUAAAGCGCGCGUAGGCGGUUUCUUAAGUCUGAUGUGAAAGCCCACGGCUCAACCGUGGAGGGUCAUUGGAAACUGGGAAACUUGAGUGCAGAAGAGGAAAGUGGAAUUCCAUGUGUAGCGGUGAAAUGCGCAGAGAUAUGGAGGAACACCAGUGGCGAAGGCGACUUUCUGGUCUGUAACUGACGCUGAUGUGCGAAAGCGUGGGGAUCAAACAGGAUUAGAUACCCUGGUAGUCCACGCCGUAAACGAUGAGUGCUAAGUGUUAGGGGGUUUCCGCCCCUUAGUGCUGCAGCUAACGCAUUAAGCACUCCGCCUGGGGAGUACGACCGCAAGGUUGAAACUCAAAGGAAUUGACGGGGACCCGCACAAGCGGUGGAGCAUGUGGUUUAAUUCGAAGCAACGCGAAGAACCUUACCAAAUCUUGACAUCCUUUGAAAACUCUAGAGAUAGAGCCUUCCCCUUCGGGGGACAAAGUGACAGGUGGUGCAUGGUUGUCGUCAGCUCGUGUCGUGAGAUGUUGGGUUAAGUCCCGCAACGAGCGCAACCCUUAAGCUUAGUUGCCAUCAUUAAGUUGGGCACUCUAGGUUGACUGCCGGUGACAAACCGGAGGAAGGUGGGGAUGACGUCAAAUCAUCAUGCCCCUUAUGAUUUGGGCUACACACGUGCUACAAUGGACAAUACAAAGGGCAGCUAAACCGCGAGGUCAUGCAAAUCCCAUAAAGUUGUUCUCAGUUCGGAUUGUAGUCUGCAACUCGACUACAUGAAGCUGGAAUCGCUAGUAAUCGUAGAUCAGCAUGCUACGGUGAAUACGUUCCCGGGUCUUGUACACACCGCCCGUCACACCACGAGAGUUUGUAACACCCGAAGCCGGUGGAGUAACCAUUUAUGGAGCUAGCCGU